rnacentral:rRNA from 1 species
GACGAACGCUGGCGGCGUGCUUAACACAUGCAAGUCGAACGGACGAGUGAGAUAAGUUUACUUAACUCACAAGUUAGUGGCGGACGGGUGAGUAACACGUGGAUAAUCUACCUGCAACACCGGGAUAACGCUGUGAAAACGGUGCUAAUACCGGAUACGUUCCCUUGUGCGCAUGUAUGAGGGAAGAAAGCUCAGGCGGUUGCAGAUGAGUCCGCGGCUGAUUAGCUAGUUGGUGAGGUAAAGGCUCACCAAGGCGAUGAUCAGUAGCCGGCCUGAGAGGGUGAACGGCCACACUGGGACUGAGACACGGCCCAGACUCCUACGGGAGGCAGCAGUGGGGAAUCUUCCGCAAUGGGCGCAAGCCUGACGGAGCAACGCCGCGUGGGUGAAGAAGGCCUUCGGUUGUAAGCCUGUCUUAUGGAGAAGUCAGUGACGGUACCACUAGGAGGAAGCCACGGCUAACUACGUGCCAGCAGCCGCGGUAAAGUACGUCUAC